rnacentral:rRNA from 1 species
AGAGAGAGACAUGCGCGCAUAUCAAUAAGCGGAGGAAAAGAAACUAACAAGGAUUCCCCUAGUAACGGCGAGUGAAGCGGGAAGAGCUCAAAUUUGAAAUCUUAAAGGUUUCCCUUGACGAAUCGUAGUUUAAAGAAGUGUUUUCUGUUGGAGUUUUGGUAAAAGUUCUUUGGAAUAGGACAUCAUAGAGGGUGAGAAUCCCGUAUUUGACCUUUACUUUCAACUUUGUGAUACACUUUCAAAGAGUCGGAUUGUUUGGGAAUGCAGUCCAAAAUGGGUGGUAAAUUUCAUCUAAAGCUAAAUAUUGGCGAGAGACCGAUAGCGAACAAGUACCGUGAGGGAAAGAUGAAAAGAACUUUGAAAAGAGAGUUAAACAGUACGUGAAAUUGUCAAAAGGGAAGCGUUUGACACCAGUGUUGUUUUUCUGAAAAUCAAUUAAAGAACUGUUUAUGCUAAGCUGUUUAGACUUUAUCAGCUAUACUGUUUAGUUUUGAGCUUUUCUUUAAUGCACUUUUCAGCUAACAAGUCAACAUCAAUUUCUUUUGCUGUAAAAAAGCUUGAGGAAGGUGGCUUGAGAUUCGUCUUAAGUGUUUAUAGCCUCUUGCCUAUGCAGUCGGAGAGAUUGAGGUCUGCAGCGUAGAUCCUUCGGCGCUAAAUGCAUUUGUGCUAAGUUAUAACAUUUUAUAGACAACUUGUUGACUAUGAUUUGUCUUGUAGCUUACUCGCUUAUGUUAUUUUACCUACGCUUAGGAUGUUGAGCGCAUGUCUCUCUCU